rnacentral:rRNA from 1 species
GUUAUCGUUUAUUUGAUAGUACCUUACUACUUGGAUAACCGUGGUAAUUCUAGAGCUAAUACAUGCUAAAAACCCUGACUUCGGAAAGGGUGUAUUUAUUAGAUAAAAAACCAAUGCCCUCCGGGGCUCUUUGGUGAUUCAUGAUAACUUAACGGAUCGCAUGGCCUUGCGCCGGCGACGGUUCAUUCAAAUUUCUGCCCUAUCAACUUUCGAUGGUAAGGUAUUGGCUUACCAUGGUUUCAACGGGUAACGGGGAAUUAGGGUUCGAUUCCGGAGAGGGAGCCUGAGAAACGGCUACCACAUCCAAGGAAGGCAGCAGGCGCGCAAAUUACCCAAUCCCGACACGGGGAGGUAGUGACAAUAAAUACUGAUACAGGGCUCUUUUGGGUCUUGUAAUCGGAAUGAGUACAAUUUAAACCUCUUAACGAGGAACAAUUGGAGGGCAAGUCUGGUGCCAGCAGCCGCGGUAAUUCCAGCUCCAAUAGCGUAUAUUAAAGUUGUUGCAGUUAAAAAGCUCGUAGUUGAAUCUUGGGCCUGGCUGGCCGGUCCGCCUCACCGCGUGUACUGGUCUGGCCGGGCCUUUCCUUCUGGAGAACCUCAUGCCCUUCAUUGGGUGUGUUGGGGAACCAGGACUUUUACUUUGAAAAAAUUAGAGUGUUCAAAGCAGGCCUUUGCUCGAAUACGUUAGCAUGGAAUAAUAGAAUAGGACGUGCGGUCCUAUUUUGUUGGUUUCUAGGACCGCCGUAAUGAUUAAUAGGGAUAGUCGGGGGCAUCAGUAUUCAAUUGUCAGAGGUGAAAUUCUUGGAUUUAUUGAAGACUAACUACUGCGAAAGCAUUUGCCAAGGAUGUUUUCAUUAAUCAGUGAACGAAAGUUAGGGGAUCGAAGACGAUCAGAUACCGUCGUAGUCUUAACCGUAAACUAUGCCGACUAGGGAUC